GAUAUAGCUCAGUUGGUGGCGUGCUUGCCUUGCAUGCAUAAGGCCCUGGGUUCGAUUCCCAGAACG
rnacentral:tRNA from 1 species